CGCCUCCCCCUGCCUCAGCGUCGCGUCGCAGCACUCUGCAGGGGAGGGGUUGGGUGCUCGGCAGCUUGUUUGGUUGGCUCCAUGUGGAGCCAGCGGCUGGAGCGGCGUGGUGAUGUACCUGAUGAGACAGGGAUGUUCUUGCUGUGCAACUGUAACUACAGACACCACAUCAAGCAACUGAAGCACUGAUCAAAGGGGAGAUCCUGGCUGAAGAGCAACCAGCCAGCCAGUGGAACCCACGGAAAUGACUCAAGUAAAGGGAAGAGGGUGACAUUGCUGGCAAAGUCUCUGAAGCUAAGAAUGGUGAGGGUCAUGUGAGGAGAAUGAAGAUACACUGGACGAUCAUCCCCUUUGGGGAAUGAGAAAAAGUAACAGAUGUCAGGAGCAGAUGUUUAAGAGACAAAAGAAAUAUCUGUUCCGAAAACUGCAAUCCAAAAUGCAGUGUUAAUUUAAGCUCUCCAACACCCUAUUUCUCCUACUACUGAAGCCAGCAGGAGCUCUGACAUUGCCUCCAAUGUGACCACUGUUUAUAAGCUUAUGUAA